rnacentral:lncRNA from 1 species
UCUCACCCUACUCAUUUCCCUGGGAAAUUGUACCUACACCUGUUAUUGAUAUUUUGAUGACUUCCAUAUCUGUUCUUCAGCUCUGUGGUACAUUGCAAAGCCUGGCCAGAAAUAUUUGUUGCUCCUCCUGUCAAGCGGUGGAGUUGAUUUCUCCAACCAUUGAGUCUGGCUGCCUUUGGGACUUGCUUUGGAGAACAAAAUGCAGAAGUGAUGCUGUGCCAGUCCUGAGCUUGGACCUCAAGAUAUUUUGCACACAUAUGCUUUUGAUCUUGGAACCCCUUAUCCUAGCCCAGUAAACUGGGCUGAACUGAUGAUCAAAGACGCCUCCUUCACCGUGUCUACAAGGCCCUCUGAAAACACCUGGUCCUCUGGCGAUCCAUCAGUUAACUGGUCCAUGAGCUUCUGCUGGACUCACAGCCUUGACUUUAAUCCUCAUAUAAUUGGGAAACAUUAAAUAUUCUUGAAUGUUAACAUGUCAGUACCAGGGCUCUGCUUCAAGAGAACUGGUCUGGGAGUUGUACUGAGCAUGCCUUAUGGGGAAACUUUGGAUGUAAGAAGAGAAAUUAAGAAGGCCUUUCAUACAUCCAGCGAGAAAAGAUGGAUCUCAAACAAGACUGGUGGUAAUGAGAACUUUCAGUGUUUUUUGAAGGAAAGUUUUAGGAGGAUGAGAUGGAUACCAAGAAGAACUUCAGGAGUAUAUUAUUCAGGCUCUGUUCUGAGCAGGUGUCAAGGGAGGGAAAGGGCCCGUGAUCUCAAGCCUGGCUCACAGAUAUGAGUGAAAGCAUUGUUUGAAUAAUAAAGUAUGGAGGAGAAGGAGGUUUAUGGAGCAAAGAAAUGGUCACAAGACAACUAGGAGACACGGUGCUGGAGAGGUGGUUUGGGGUCAGCCCUUCUGUACGUGCAUGGCAGCUAGUUGCUCAAGCGCAUUGCUCAGCUUUUUCCUUCUGCAUCUCUGUAUGUGCCAUUUCUUCUACCCAGCUUCCUGAUCUAUUUAUUAAAACAAUACUUCCAAGA